rnacentral:lncRNA from 1 species
UCUUUCUAAACACAUCAACACCCUCUUCUCCCUAAAUCCAAAUUCGAGGUAUCCAUGUGUAGUUUUUACUUGUGGUGAUGCGGAGCCGCUCAUGCCGUUACACCCUCUCAGGGUUGUUUCAGUGGUUCUCUGAAACUCCUUCCUGUUUUGAAGGUUUGGCUCCUUCUACUAUGGCAAUUUGGUUCUGGUGACGAUUGGUCUG